CCAACAAACAGGGACGUGCACUUUUGCUCUCCAGACCGACGGAGAACAUCAAAGUUUGUGAGUAAUUGCCGGGGAAAGUUGAAUAUUCUAUGUAUCAACAGAGAGCGGAGCAGAGGAACGCACCACACGGGAACUACUUUUUCAACGAGGCUGGCGGAAGAAUACCAUGAAGGAGCGUGACGUCAGCGAGGAGAUGAGCCCUGAUGGGGGUUGUUCCUGAUUCUUCCUGGGACGUGGGUGGUGGAGGAGUUUCCCUUUAUGUUAUGGGAUGUGCUGGUGGUGGUGGAGGUGCGGGACUGCCCAAGCGUGGAUGAGGAGUCUUGGUGAAUGGCUACUACAGGACUGGUGAGAAGUGUGUGGAUCUCUUAAAGAGCAGAGGAGCAGAAGAGAUGGAGGGCCGAGCGAGAGAUGAUGAGGCGGAGAGAGCUACGUUGGCGAAGAAUGUAGAAGAGAUAUAGAUGGUGAGCCGCGCAGAAUAGGUAAGCAGAAGAGGUGAAGAGAGAUGAACGCCAGGAAGAGGUGAGAGGUGAAGAGAGCCACGCAGAGCAGAAGAGAUGUCCUGUCGCAGUAAAAUCUGACGCCCCGCAGGAUGGUGACGAGGCUGCUGGGUGAUGGGCUGGAUCGGACUGAAUAUUACAAAGGGAGUCUACUGCCGCUGCAUUCUUCCCUCCCUGAAGCAGGCAAGGCUGGUGGAACGCUAUUACAGUACAGCUGGUGGAGAGCAACGGCCUGAAGAAGAAAGAGCAAGAAGACACGCCGAAGAACAAGACACACAACAUGAGACAGACUGGAGGGGUGACAGGCGGCAGUCCACGGGGGAUCAAGUAACCUCCAAGACUACUAGUACAGAGUUUCCUUGCCAGCUUUGUGUCUCCAAUCAGAUCACCGCUGCCUCGCCGGCUGGAAGUACAUCAGGGAGGAGAGGGACGCUGUGUGUGGAUCCCUCGCCUCCUUCAUGUAUGGACGAAGGUGCUUAAAUAUUCAGGAAAUUUCCAUACGUAGCUGGCAGGGAAGUUCUGUACCGUGUCUGGAGGGGACUUUUUCCUUCGCCGGGGAGGGUGAAUGAAGUCUGUCUUAUCCAUAUUCACAAAAAAACGCUUUGCUCUCACCAUCACUAUUUUUCAAGGCCACAGAGAUCGAGUGUUUAUUUUCUCCAGUUGUGAUUAAUUAAUAUAGAUUUUGUUAAUCUGUCACUAGAAUCGUGAAACUACUACUAUUUAAAAAAAAUACUAUUAAAAAAAACUUAAGUUAUAAGCCUUUUGAAUGUGUAAUAAGUAGUUUUAAGCCAGAAAGUAGUGGUGGUGCGGCGCAGUGUUUCAGAAUAUUGGUCUAGGUGUCAUCGUUGUUUCCGUCUGUGUUCGUCUCCCUUGAACGAACAACGUGUGUGUCAGUCAGACUCGGUGUCAGCUGGCAGGUGCCGAUACACUAGAAGUCCUAGGCUCCCUAACUCAUCAUUGUUGUGCUGAUUUAUUUUAAUUUUUUUUUCCCCUACUCCAUGGACGUGUGCAGUGUUUCUCCGGAGACUCUUUCGAGUAUUGUUUUACACGGGCUGUGUAGAUAAAGUUUUGUGACUAGUCUUGGAACAAGUUGGUUUAAUAAAAUUAUUAACGUGUA